rnacentral:rRNA from 1 species
UACGUAGGGGGCAAGCGUUGUCCGGAUUUAUUGGGCGUAAAGAGCGUGUAGGCGGCCAUUCAGGUCAGCUGUGAAAACUCGAGGCUCAACCUCGAGACGUCGGUUGAAACCGUUUGGCUAGAGUCCGGAAGAGGAGAGUGGAAUUCCCGGUGUAGCGGUGAAAUGGCGCAGAUAUCGGGAAGAACACCCGUGGCGAAGGCGGGACUCUGGGCCGAUACU